GUUUCUAAAUGCCUCAGGAACAAUACUGCGUCGUCAAAGUGCCGAAAAGUGGCGCCAUUUCUCCGGCGAACAGGCUGAACUACACGCUUUUGAACCUGCGGUUUAACUAGUUCCCAACUUCUAUCGCUAGAUGGCGGGACACUAGCCAGAAACCUAGCCUAAAAAUGGUUAAUAAUUGUUAAUAGUUUGGUUAUGUGAAAACAAUUCGAAGUUAAUUGGUCGUGCACUCCGACGCGAUUCGAUGCAUAUUACAGUCAAUUAAGGUAAUAAAAUCAACUAUAUUAAUCGAAAUGAACCUAAAAGGUAUCCGUGAUUAGCAGACAAUAACUCGUCGUCUGAUACGUUAGUUCUUGGAGACUGUCGAGUUGCGUGGGAAUAUUUGUUGGAUUACGUACGAGUGGGAAAAGUCCUUGACGUAGGGAAUUUUCUUGGCAAAAUUGCUAACUAGUGACAACACUGGCCGUGAACGUCACGGUGCACGGAGGUUGAUUAUCGUUGACGGAAUUUAGACGAGCCUGGACGAUGUGCUUUGACGAAAUUGAAUUUUCGAGCGUGUGCGAUGUCGUGAAUCGGUAAGUGGCCAAGCGAAGCACGAAAAGGUUCGUUUCCAUUUGAAGAAGGUAAUCGCGUACAGCGUAUCGUCGACAUCGCCGCCGCUGCUGCGAUGCUGUCAGAAGUCGACGUUUUCAUCAGUAAUUACACUCUCGUUGAUCCCGAGAUAUAUCAACUGUGGGUCGAUGGCCAUUCGUCGAGCGAAGCGGUCAACAUCCUGCAUCAACGAGGAAUAUGUCAUCAAACGAGUGCAUCGAUCGAAUUGGUGGCUUCCGAUAUUCUGGAUCAUUAUCGGACAUACGCGCUUCUGGAGAAGCUGCUUCAUACCCCUACCAAAUUGGCUAGCGAACAACUCGCCUUUCAAAUAGAACCUCAAACUAGUCAAAUGCUGAUCGAGAUGUACUACGAAUUCGACGAUGUCGUGAUCAGAGAAUUACUAGGUAAAAAAUUAACGUCCAAGAGUAGAAAGGACAUGGACGAAGUGUCGGAGAAAACGGGCAUCACGCUAAAAAGUUGUCGCAGACAAUACGACAACGUGAAGAGAGUGUUUAAGGUCGUGGAAGAUUUGUCAGGAUCGUUGGCUGCCAACAUAGAGCAACACUUUUUACUUUCCGAAGACCUUGCCAAGCGAUACGCGGCCGUCGUGUUCGUUGCCUGCCUCCGAUUCGAGAUGAACAAAAGGAAACUGCAGUUUUUAACCUUUCCCGAUAUCUAUCAUUGUGCCAACAGCAUGAUGUCGUCGUGGACGUAUCGUUGUAUCGGAUCGGAAUAUUUUGAUACCGAUUUGGACAGAGAAUUUUUACUGGAAUUAGCCCAAUGUAGAAUAUUAUUGGAGAACGACAAACACCAUAAACAUUUGGUGUGCAUCAAGCUUAAACCGAUGCUUCUCGAGCGUUCGUAUCAAGAAAUAGAUUCGAACUUUCGUUCGUACACGAGAGCUAUACUAGGAAUCGGAUGUAACCUUCAUCGAUCGAGAGACUUACGGUUCUUCUUUCUGGAGCUGGUCGAGAGAUGCAUCGAGCCGUGGCGUCAAGUGAACUGGACCCAUACCGAUCUUCGAAAUUUCCUCGCGGCUUAUACUCAAUGCGCUCUAGACAUGGAUGUAUUUAGGGAUACCGAAGUAAGAGACGCCUUUGAACGUUACAUGGUCGUUGUAACGUGUUGCUUAUUGCGCAUGUACCAUACGUGACUAUCGAUGCAAGAAGACGAUGGUACACAGAAAACGAGCACGGUCAACGUCGAUAAUAAUUGAAACGAUCGUGUAAUAGGCUGAAACAGAGAGUGGACGGAUUCAACUCCCGACGAUCGCGAUCAACCAACGUACUCGUCCGACUCUGUUCGUCAACUGACCAACCGUGAAAACGAUAGCGCCGACGCCGACGCCGACGCCGCACAACACCAACCCCGGCCGUCGAC
rnacentral:misc_RNA from 1 species